GGGCGCAUAACUCAGAUGGUAGAGUGCCUGUUUUACAAGCAGGAUGUCGUUGGUUCAAAUCCAGCUGCGCUCA
rnacentral:tRNA from 1 species